rnacentral:lncRNA from 1 species
CUGACGAAGUUGGGCGAUCGCCACUUCGUUUUUGAUCAGAUGUUGAUUUGCAGCAUGUGAGUUCGUGCGAUGUAGGAAAUUUGUCAGAACAGAAGCAGGUAGCGAUCAAUGGUCUUAUAUUAAUCUAAAAGAAAAAACGUUGAAAUACACACGUCGUUCCGCCGUCUAGACUCGUGGUAAAUCCUGGCGGACCCUAUUCGAUACGAGGCGAUCUCCCCGAGGAGGAAGCCUAUGUUCAACGACUGACAUGGCACG